GGGGCUGCAUUGGUUUCGACGUAGGCUCGGAAUCGCAGUAGGGCAUGUCGAGCUGGAUUCGCUCGUAAAACCGAUUCAAACAAACUAACUGCAAACGACGAACGUUUCGCACUCGCCGCUUAAACACCGGUGAGCCUCGCAACAGUUGGCCGAUGGGCUGGGCAAGGGGGCCGCAAGGCGUCCAGGCUGCGAGGGAAUCUACAUGGGCUGGUCUUGAACCGGGUGCCUUGGUUCAGGGCGAGAAAAUAGGGCACUGGCGGCUGGUGUAGCGUGCGACUGCGCGACAUUGGCGGCGAGAUCCAAAUCAGAUCGCUAAACAUGUAGAACUGCGCGAGGAAGGUUUGCGGACGGGGGUUCGAAUCCCCCCAGCUCCACCA
rnacentral:tmRNA from 1 species